GGCUGCUUAGCUCAGUCGGUUGAGCGUGGUGCUGAUAACACCAAGGUCGCAGGUUCGAUUCCCGCUGGGUCCC
rnacentral:tRNA from 1 species